UACAGGGGGGGGCAAGCGUUGUUCGGAUUUAUUGGGCGUAAAGAGCUCGUAGGCUGUUCGAUAAGUCGGGUGUGAAACCUCCAGGCUCAACCUGGAGACGCCACCCGAUACUGUCAUGACUAGAGUCCGGUAGGGGAGCGUGGAAUUCCUGGUGUAGCGGUGAAAUGCGCAGAUAUCAGGAGGAACACCAGCGGCGAAGGCGGCGCUCUGGGCCGGUACUGACGCUGAGGAGCGAAAGCGUGGGUAGCAAACAGG
rnacentral:rRNA from 1 species